AUUGAACGCUGGCGGCAGGCCUAACACAUGCAAGUCGAACGGUAGCACAGAGAGCUUGCUCUCGGGUGACGAGUGGCGGACGGGUGAGUAAUGUCUGGGAAACUGCCCGAUGGAGGGGGAUAACUACUGGAAACGGCAGCUAAUACCGCAUAACGUCGCAAGACCAAAGUGGGGGACCUUCGGGCCUCACACCAUCGGAUGUGCCCAGAUGGGAUUGGCUAGUAGGUGGGGUAAUGGCUCACCUGGGCGACGAUCCCUAGCUGGUCUGAGAGGAUGACCAGCCACACUGGAACUGAGAAGCGGUCCAUACUCGUACGGGAGGCAGCGGUGGGGAAUAUUGCACAAUGGGCGCAAGCCUGAGGCAGCCAUGCCGCGUGUAUGAAGAAGGCCUUCGGGUUGUAAAGUACUUUCAGCGGGGAGGAAGGCGGUGAGGUUAAUAACCUUGCCGAUUGACGUUACCCGCAGAAGAAGCACCGGCUAACUCCGUGCCAGCCGCCGCUGUAA
rnacentral:rRNA from 1 species